rnacentral:tRNA from 1 species
GCCCAGGUGUUGGAACUGGUAGACAAGCUGGAUUUAGGUUCCAGUGCCGCAAGGCGUGUGGGUUCGAGUCCCACCCUGGGCACCA